CGGGGCUUCCCUUUGGCUCGCGGCUGCACGCGCGGCUCCCGAGACAGGCAGGCAGCUAGCUAGCUUCUCUUCCCGUGCCUUUCCCAGCUGCAAGCCUUCUCUUCCCUGUCCCUCCCUCCCUCUCCUCCUGCUCUCCGGUCGUCCCUCCUGGCAGCCCUUUGCUGUCCUCUUCUCUUUCCUCCCUCCAUCCCAGGUCUUUUAAUCCCCUUUCCCCGACAUUCCCCCCACCCUCAUACUUCUCUCCCCCGAGAGAGACUCCGCUCCUACCGCCUUUCCUUUCCUCCCCCGCCCCUCAUUGUCUUCUGCAGCCUAUUGCCCAAUUUCCAAAGCUGGGGGAAACUCGCUAUGGGCGAGGACGAGGCAGUCCCGGCGGCUCUCCUUUCCAGCACUAGCUAGAAGAAGCGGGGCCUUUCGGGUUCGGCCAGGGAGUGUGAGUUGCACGGCGGCAACCUCUCCUUGCAGCGGCAGCGGCGUCUGUCCCUCUGGUGAUCCGCCAGGCGUCGCGUUGUCUUGGGGCGCUCGGCCCGUCCAGCCCGAUGUGCGACUUGCUCGACUCGCAGCAGCCGGCCGAGAAACUUAGCAGAAUGAAAAAGUUACGGCGAACUUUGUCGGAGAGUUUCGGCAGACUAGCCUUGAAAAAAGAUGAUAAUGGCUUUGAUGAGAUAUGCGUCACAAAGAUGUCCACACGGAAUUGCCAAGGAAUGGAUUCUGUGAUUAAACCUUUGGACACAAUUCCAGAAGACAAAAAAGUCAGAGUUCAGAGGACACAAAGCACUUUUGACCCAUUUGAGAAGCCAAAUAAUCAAGUAAAAAGAGUUCAUUCAGAGAACAACGCCUGCAUUAAUUUCAAAUCUUCAUCAGCUGAGAAGGAAUCUCCGAAAGUCAGACGGCAUUCCAGUCCUAGUUCUCCAACCAGUCCCAAAUUUGGAAAAGCCGAUUCUUAUGAAAAACUGGAAAAACUGGGUGAAGGUUCAUAUGCUACAGUGUACAAAGGGAAAAGCAAAGUAAAUGGAAAGCUAGUAGCACUGAAAGUAAUAAGACUUCAGGAAGAAGAAGGUACUCCAUUUACAGCUAUCAGAGAAGCAUCUCUCCUGAAAGGUCUGAAACAUGCUAAUAUUGUGCUGCUUCAUGAUAUCAUUCAUACAAAAGAGACACUGACCCUAGUAUUUGAGUUUGUGCACACAGAUUUAUGUCAGUACAUGGAUAAACAUCCUGGAGGACUUCAUCCAGACAAUGUGAAGUUAUUUUUAUUUCAAUUGCUGCGAGGACUUUCGUACAUCCACCACCGUUACAUUUUGCACAGGGAUCUGAAACCCCAAAAUCUUCUGAUCAGUGACACUGGGGAGUUGAAACUGGCAGAUUUUGGUCUUGCAAGAGCUAAAUCUGUCCCUAGUCACACAUACUCUAAUGAAGUGGUAACCCUUUGGUAUCGACCUCCAGAUGUUCUCUUAGGCUCAACAGAAUAUUCCACUUGCCUUGAUAUGUGGGGAGUUGGUUGCAUUUUUGUGGAAAUGAUUCAAGGAGUUGCUGCUUUUCCAGGAAUGAAAGAUAUUCAAGAUCAGCUUGAAAGAAUUUUUCUGGUUCUGGGAACUCCAAAUGAAGAGUCAUGGCCUGGAGUUGAUGCUCUACCACAUUUCAAGCCAGAUCGCUUUACACAGUACAGUGCUAAAAAUCUUAGACAAGCCUGGAAUAAAUUAAGCUACGUGGAUCAUGCAGAAGAUCUGGCUUCCAAAUUACUCCAGUGUUUCCCCAAAAACAGAUUGUCAGCACAGGCAGCUUUGAGCCAUGAGUACUUCAGUGAUCUUCCUCCACGGCUAUGGGAUCUAACUGAUAUGUCAUCUAUCUUUUCUGUACCGAAUGUAAGACUACAAGUGGAAGUUGGAGAAAGUACAAAAGCUUUUGGGAAAAACAUUUAUGGCAAAGGUCAAUCACAUGUAAAGCACUGAAGAGAAUUUUGAUUUCCUACAAAUAAUUGAGGAAUUAAGAUCACCAGACUAGAGAAGAGAAAAAACAAACAAACAAGAUACAGUCAACAUUAUAAAGGCACCAUUAUCUGCUUCCUUUCUUGGAUUUCAAUCACAAGAAAAAUUAUGCUGACAAGAUCUGAUUCCCCACUCCUUCUCAGUUUAUUUAAACUACUUCCACUGUGAUUCUGCAUGGAUUUUGCAUCUAACACCUGUGCUUUUGACUACAACAGGACUGAAUUCUAACUCUAAAAGAUCCUGCCAUGUCAUUUGUACUUCCUGUUUCCCCUGAUUAUGUAAUGCUUAUGACAACCCUGAGCCUUUCAGAAUUUCAAUAAGAGCCAAAACCUAAUGCAGUUUCUAUCCACUUUUCAAGUACUUUGAAUUCAAGAUUACAUAUUUUUAAUUUUCCAUGUAUAUGUUAAUUGUGACUUGGUAUAUAUGUUACUGAAAUAACACUAUCUGCUGUUUUCCCAUAAUUGGGUUCCCUAUUUUUCUAAUAAGACUUCAAUGAUUAAUUGGAUGGAGUCUUCACCCAUUUGUAAAUACUAGCUAUGCAAUCUAACCAUUCCACCUAAUAGUUUGUUUGAAAUGCUAUUGGAAUGGCCAGGAAUAUGGCAGUCAUGGAAAAACAAUCAUGCAUGGAUUGGACUUCUGUGGUUGGUAUUGGAAGAAAAAAUGCUUUCCAAUUACAUCCAGUUCUUUUAAUUAAACUCCUCCCUAUUUUAGAAAGCUUCUCAAUGAGAAGAUAGAGAAUACUUUUGAAACAUAAGAAGAUCACCUUAUAAUGAAAGAUAAGAGGAACUCCAUUAUAUGAAGAAUGUAGAAAUAGUGAUAGAAAAUUGGUCUACAGGGUUUUCGUUACCAAUGUUACAUUGGAAAAUUGGUUCAAUAUGAUUCCCAUUUGAAUAGCUCAAAAAUUCAGAGCAUCUGCGUCGUGGCGAAUAAUGUGUACUUUGCCUCUUAGGAAUAAGAUUAAACAAGCACAGGAAAUAUAUAACAAUGGUUGGGGAGGCUUUGGACCAGUCUUGCUUUCAAUAUGUGAAUGACUUUUGAAUAGAUAUUUCCAAUUUUUCUGAUUAAUUAAGGAGGAAUGUUGCUCGUCUCAACAGUGAAGGCAAUGUGAUAUUUUGACUGCAUGGACAUCCAUGCACAUAAAUGUAUGGUGCAUAUAGAGUAUGUAUUUCCCAAAAAUAUAUUAUUGUUUUUGUAACCUAAUAGAAUAAAUGACAUUUGGACUGUACAGAUUAAUGUGGAAUAUGGAGACCAUAUAAAUAGAAUUACAUUCCAUUCUUCACCAAAUCAUGAUACAAUUUUUUUUUGACCGAAAGUUUUAGAGGCACUUAUCUGUAUUAUUGCCUUGCAAUAUUUUUUAAAGCAAAAAUUGAAAGAUUGCAUUAAGAUAUUCCCUGAACGUGGCCUCAGAACAUUCACUUCUGCAGUGCUACCUACAAAAUUUUCCCUAGUUGGGAUUCUUUAUA